UAUCAGUACAGACUGUAUUAAAGUGAAACCGCAAAAGGCUCAGUAAACCAGUUGAAUUUACUAGAGUAAACUUUAUUGUGCUUGGAUAACUGUGGUAAUUCUAGAGCUAAUACAUGCAAACAAACCCCCGGCCAUUUAUGGUCGGGGCGCUUUUAUUGGAACAAGACCAUUCGCUCGGUUCGCCGAGCGUCUCCUUGAUGAAUCCAAAUAACAAAUCAGAUCGCAUGGUCCUGGUACCGGCGACUUAUCUUUCAAAUGCCUGACUUAUCAACUGACGAUGGUAGACUCUGUGUCUACCAUGGCUCCUACGGGUAACGGGGAAUCAGGGUUCGAUUCCGGAGAGGGAGCCUGAGAAACGGCUACCACAUCCAAGGAAGGCAGCAGGCACGCAAAUUACCCACUCCCGGCACGGGGAGGUAGUGACAAAAAAUAACGAUACGGGACUCGAUAUGAGGCCCCGUAAUCGGAAUGAGUACACUUUAAACCCUUAUUCAAAUAUCAAUUGGAGGGAAAGUUCUGGUGCCAGCAGCCGCGGUAAUUCCAGCUCCAAUAGCGUAUAUUAAAGUUGUUGCGGUUAAAAAGCUCGUAGUUGGUUCUGCGUCCCACGCUGUCGGUACACCUUUUGUUGGUGACACUGGCAUGCCGUGGUAUGUCCUGUCGGUGGCGGCCUUUGGUGGCCCUAGCGCGUCGGGUAAAACCGUCGUGAUAAGGUCUACCGGUCGCCGGCUACUAUCCUACCGCGGUGCUCUUCAUUGAGUGUCGAGGUAGGCCGACACGUUUACUUUGAACAAAUUUGAGUGCUUAAAGCAGGCAAAAAUCUCUGCCUGAAUAGUGGUGCAUGGAAUAAUGGAACAGGCCCUUGGUUCUAUUUUGUUGGUCUUCGGAACACAAGGAAAUGAUCAAUGUGGACUGGCGGGGGCAUUCGUAUUGCGGCGUUAGAGGUGAAAUUCUGGGUCUUCCAAGACGCACUAGAGCGAAAGCAUUUGCCAAGUAUGUCUUAAUGAUCAAGAACGAAAGUAGUCCCAAGUAUGUCUUAAUUGAUCAAGAACGAAAGUUAGAGGCCCGAAGGCGAUCAGAUACCGCCCUAGUUCUAACCAUAAACGAUGCCAGCCAGCGAUCCGCCGAUGUUCCUCCGAUGACUCGGCGGGGAGCUUUCUUCGGGAAACCAAAGCUUUUGGGUUCCGGGGGGAGUAUGGUUGCAAAGCUGAAACUUAAAGGAAUUGACGGAAGGGCACCACAAGGAGUGGAGCCUGCGGCUUAAUUUGACUCAACACGGGAAACCUCACCAGGUCAAGACAUUGGAAUGAUUGACAGAUUGAUAGCUCUUUCUUGAUUCAGUGGGUAGUGGUGCAUGGCCGUUCUUAGUUGGUGGAUCGAUUUGUCUGGUUAAUUCCGAUAACGAACGAGACUCUAGCCAAUUAACUAGACGUUUCCGGUAUCGAAGCUACCGGCGACUCAUAAUCUUCUUAGGGGGACAGGCGGCUUUCAGCCGCACGAGAUUGAGCAAUAACAGGUCUGUGAUGCCCUUAGAUGUCCUGGGCCGCACGCGCGCUACACUGAAGGAAUCAGCCUGUUCGUUCCCUUGGCCGAAAGGCCCGGGUAACCCGCUGAACCUCCUUCGUGCUAGGAAUUGGAGCUUGCAAUUGUUCCCCAUGAACGAGGAAUUCCUAGUAAGCGCGAGUCAUAAGCUCGCGUUGAUUACGUCCCUGCCCUUUGUACACACCGCCCGUCGCUACUACUAAUUGGGUGAUUUAGUGAGGUCUUCGGACCGGCGGUAAGCCCCUCCGACUUCGGCCGGUUUUGUCGAACGCUGGAAAGAUGACCAAACUUGAUCAUUAGAAGAAG
rnacentral:rRNA from 1 species